rnacentral:lncRNA from 1 species
GCUUCUCAAAACCUCAUCUCCUGCAGCCUCAGCGGUGUUCAAGUGGUAAAACUUCUCUUCAUCAGAACCAUUCCCAAACUUCUCACACGAAUCAGGUUGUGCAGCAGAACAUGAUUCAGCAACUACUGCAGAAUAUAAACAAGGGCAAUACUGGGAGUCUGCCACAACAAUGCCAUUCUGGCCAAAGUGCUAGUGGGAGUGGUGGCAGAGAUAGACCUGGGUUUGGGAUUAGCGGUUCAGCAGCAGGAACUGUCGAUGCCUAUGGCUCUGGAGGUGCUAAUGGAUCUGUGACGACUACAAGCGACAGUCGCAGAGGAACUUC